rnacentral:misc_RNA from 1 species
UAAGAUGGGUCAUAAAAUUAAGGCGAUUAGGGAGAGACUAGAUGCCAUUGACGAAGAUAGGAAAAAGUAUGGACUUCACCAUGUGGAGCGUCCAGAGGCGUCAUUUUAUAGUAGGGGAAGGGACCAAACUAUCUCAUAUGUAGAUGAGAAACAAGUCAUUGGGAGGGAAAAUGAUAGAAAGGCAAUCAUAGAUCUUUUGUUAGACUCUAAUAUUGCAGAUAAUGUUUCAGUCAUUCCCAUUGUUGGGAUUGGUGGGUUAGGAAAGUCCACAUUAGCUCAAUAUGUUUUUAGCGAUGAAAACGUCAAAACUCAUUUUGAGCUGAAGCUGUGGGUUUGUGUCUCUGAAGUCUUUGAUCUAAAAGUAGUAGUAGAAAAGACAUUGAAAUCAAUUGGAAGGGAACCCGGAAACUUUGAAUUGGAUCAAUUGCAAACAAAUCUUCGAGAAGAAAUCAGGGGAAAGAAAUAUU